UACAGAGGGUGCAAGCGUUAAUCGGAAUUACCGGGCGUAAAGCGCUCGUAGGUGGUUUGUUAAGUUGGAUGUGAAAGCCCGGGGCUCAACCUGGGAACUGCAUCCAAAACGGGCAAGCUAGAGUACGGUAGAGGGGAGUGGAAUUUCCUGUGUAGCGGUGAAAUGCGUAGAUAUAGGAAGGAACACCAGUGGCGAAGGCGACCACCUGGACUGAAACUGACACUGAGGUGCGAAAGCAUGGGGAGCAAACAGG
rnacentral:misc_RNA from 1 species